GUGAAAUGUUCUGAGACCUGUUCGGGGACCUGUCAGCCAAUCCUGUCAUAACAAGUGGAUGAGGGUCAGAGAUAAACAUUUUCAGAGUUGACUUUGGAAUACAGUGCUUCUCUGCGAUACAACAGACACAAAGGGUGAAGCUCGACAGUUGCCAAUGUGAUGAACGGAGAGGGAAGGAAGCAAGCUGGAUUUUCAAGUGUUCGUUUCAGUUUCUGUCAGGGGCCGACUCCAGGACAUGUCCGGGUCGCUGACGGGACGCAGGAGUCAGAGGCCAUCCAUUCACUCCAGUCUCCUCCGCAGCAAUUCGUUUGCAGGUUUCCGCGAUGAUGUUCCGUCGGAUCCUUUCUUGGCGGUAAGUCGUUCAGUUUAAAUUGUUCAUUUCUGUAUAACUACUCAACAAUGGUGCAGUAAAAAAGUACCAAAUAGUAGGGAAAAAAAUUACAUUACAGCUGACUGAGCUGAGAAGAAUUAAUAUCUCACUUUGAAUGUUAUAAAAUUUGAUUCAAUUCUUUUUGAGAAGUGACCAGGGUGUUUUUGUAUGAAGGAAUCAUGGAAUAGCAAAAAUUAUAUACCUUCAGUUAUAACAAGGACAACAGUAAUCAUCGCUUUCCAAGGUCUUCUAUGCAUUUAAAUAGUCUAUUCUCUAGCCUCUUUUGUGUUCAAAGUGAAAUUGAAAGUGAAUUGCUGUUCAAUUGGGAUUCAUGUGGUUGCUUCGGGCAGUUUCUCUUCAGAACAAAAAAAUUACCUAUAAAUUAGUUUGCAUAAAUGAUUACUUUUAGAUGAUUGCACUCUGUAAUAAUCAUAUUGAUUGUUUUCCUGUACCGGUAACUGACCUAGAUACGUGGCCAGUAAAAGCAUUGCAGCGUGCAUAAUGGUGAUGAUCAAUAUCUGUUAAUGGGUUAAAAGAUGCACAUGGUAUCCUGAUGCAAAGACUUAGACAUGGAGUCUCCGCAUUGUAUGACCUGACUGUCUUACAAGUUACAAUGGUCAUGAAAUGCUUGUAGACUUGACCGUCUUACAAGUUACUAUGGUCAUGAAAUGCUUUUUUACCUGACCGUCUUACAAGUUACAAUGGUCAUUAAAUGCUUGUGGACUUGACCGUCUUACAAUUACAAUGGUCAUGAAAUGCUUGUGGACUUGACCGUCUUACAAGUUACAAUGGUCAUGAAAUGCUUGUGGACUUGACCGUCUUACAAUUACAAUGGUCAUGAAAUGCUUGUGGACUUGACCGUCUUACAAGUUACAAUGGUCAUGAAAUGCUUUUGGACUUGACCGUCUUACAAGUUACAAUGGUCAUGAAAUGCUUGUAGACUUGACCGUCUUACAAGUUACUAUGGUCAUGAAAUGCUUUUUUACCUGACCGUCUUACAAGUUACAA